rnacentral:rRNA from 1 species
UGUGAACUCGAAGAGUAGGGCGGGACACGUGGUAUCCUGUCUGAAUAUGGGGGGACCAUCCUCCAAGGCUAAAUACUCCUGACUGACCGAUAGUGAACCAGUACCGUGAGGGAAAGGCGAAAAGAACCCCGGCGAGGGGAGUGAAAAAGAACCUGAAACCGUGUACGUACAAGCAGUGGGAGCACCUUCGGGUGUGACUGCGUACCUUUUGUAUAAUGGGUCAGCGACUUAUAUUCUGUAGCAAGGUUAACCGUAUAGGGGAGCCGCAGGGAAACCGAGUCUUAACUGGGCGUUAAGUUGCAGGGUAUAGACCCGAAACCCGGUGAUCUAGCCAUGGGCAGGUUGAAGGUUGGGUAACACUAACUGGAGGACCGAACCGACUAAUGUUGAAAAAUUAGCGGAUGACUUGUGGCUGGGGGUGAAAGGCCAAUCAAACCGGGAGAUAGCUGGUUCUCCCCGAAAGCUAUUUAGGUAGCGCCUCGUGAACUCAUCUUCGGGGGUAGAGCACUGUUUCGGCUAGGGGGUCAUCCCGACUUACCAACCCGAUGCAAACUACGAAUACCGAAGAAUGUUAUCACGGGAGACACACGGCGGGUGCUAACGUCCGUCGUGAAGAGGGAAACAACCCAGACCGCCAGCUAAGGUCCCAAAGUCAUGGUUAAGUGGGAAACGAUGUGGGAAGGCACAGACAGCCAGGAUGUUGGCUUAGAAGCAGCCAUCAUUUAAAGAAAGCGUAAUAGCUCACUGGUCGAGUCGGCCUGCGCGGAAGAUGUAACGGGGCUAAACCAUGCACCGAAGCUGCGGCAGCGACACUAUGUGUUGUUGGGUAGGGGAGCGUUCUGUAAGCCUGCGAAGGUGNUGCUGGAGGUAUCAGAAGUGCGAAUGCUGACAUAAGUAACGAUAAAGCGGGUGAAAAGCCCGCUCGCCGGAAGACCAAGGGUUCCUGUCCAACGUUAAUCGGGGCAGGGUGAGUCGACCCCUAAGGCGAGGCCGAAAGGCGUAGUCGAUGGGAAACAGGUUAAUAUUCCUGUACUUGGUGUUACUGCGAAGGGGGGACGGAGAAGGCUAUGUUAGCCGGGCGACGGUUGUCCCGGUUUAAGCAUGUAGGCUGGUUGUCCAGGCAAAUCCGGAUAAUCAAGGCUGAGGUGUGAUGACGAGGCACUACGGUGCUGAAGUAACAAAUGCCCUGCUUCCAGGAAAAGCCUCUAAGCAUCAGGUAACAUUAAAUCGUACCCCAAACCGACACAGGUGGUCAGGUAGAGAAUACCAAGGCGCUUGAGAGAACUCGGGUGAAGGAACUAGGCAAAAUGGUGCCGUAACUUCGGGAGAAGGCACGCUGGUGUGUAGGUGAAGNUGGAGCUGAGACCAGUCGAAGAUACCAGCUGGCUGCAACUGUUUAUUAAAAACACAGCACUGUGCAAACACGAAAGUGGACGUAUACGGUGUGACGCCUGCCCGGUGCCGGAAGGUUAAUUGAUGGGGUUAUCCGUAAGGAGAAGCUCUUGAUCGAAGCCCCGGUAAACGGCGGCCGUAACUAUAACGGUCCUAAGGUAGCGAAAUUCCUUGUCGGGUAAGUUCCGACCUGCACGAAUGGCGUAAUGAUGGCCAGGCUGUCUCCACCCGAGACUCAGUGAAAUUGAACUCGCUGUGAAGAUGCAGUGUACCCGCGGCAAGACGGAAAGACCCCGUGAACCUUUACUAUAGCUUGACACUGAACAUUGAGCCUUGAUGUGUAGGAUAGGUGGGAGGCUUUGAAGCGUGGACGCCAGUCUGCGUGGAGCCAACCUUGAAAUACCACCCUUUAAUGUUUGAUGUUCUAACGUUGGCCCCUGACCGGGGUUGCGGACAGUGUCUGGUGGGUAGUUUGACUGGGGCGGUCUCCUCCCAAAGCGUAACGGAGGAGCACGAAGGUUAGCUAAUCCUGGUCGGACAUCAGGAGGUUAGUGCAAUGGCAUAAGCUAGCUUGACUGCGAGCGUGACGGCGCGAGCAGGUGCGAAAGCAGGUCAUAGUGAUCCGGUGGUUCUGAAUGGAAGGGCCAUCGCUCAACGGAUAAAAGGUACUCCGGGGAUAACAGGCUGAUACCGCCCAAGAGUUCAUAUCGACGGCGGUGUUUGGCACCUCGAUGUCGGCUCAUCACAUCCUGGGGCUGAAGUAGGUCCCAAGGGUAUGGCUGUUCGCCAUUUAAAGUGGUACGCGAGCUGGGUUUAGAACGUCGUGAGACAGUUCGGUCCCUAUCUGCCGUGGGCGCUGGAGAAUUGAGGGGGGCUGCUCCUAGUACGAGAGGACCGGAGUGGACGCAUCACUGGUGUUCGGGUUGUCAUGCCAAUGGCACUGCCCGGUAGCUAAAUGCGGAAGAGAUAAGUGCUGAAAGCAUCUAAGCACGAAACUUGCCCCGAGAUGAGUUCUCCCUGAGACUUUAAGUCUCCUGAAGGAACGUUGAAGACGACGACGUUGAUAGGCCGGGUGUGUAAGCGCAGCGAUGCGUUGAGCUAACCGGUACUAAUGAACCGUGAGGCUUAACCUUACAACGCCGAAG